GAACGGGUGAGUAACACGUGGGCAAUCUGCCCUUCACUCUGGGACAAGCCCUGGAAACGGGGUCUAAUACCGGAUAAUACUCCUGCCUGCAUGGGCGGGGGUUGAAAGCUCCGGCGGUGAAGGAUGAGCCCGCGGCCUAUCAGCUUGUUGGUGGGGUAAUGGCCCACCAAGGCGACGACGGGUAGCCGGCCUGAGAGGGCGACCGGCCACACUGGGACUGAGACACGGCCCAGACUCCUACGGGAGGCAGCAGUGGGGAAUAUUGCACAAUGGGCGAAAGCCUGAUGCAGCGACGCCGCGUGAGGGAUGACGGCCUUCGGGUUGUAAACCUCUUUCAGCAGGGAAGAAGCGAAAGUGACGGUACCUGCAGAAGAAGCGCCGGCUAACUACGUGCCAGCAGCCGCGGUAAUACGUAGGGCGCAAGCGUUGUCCGGAAUUAUUGGGCGUAAAGAGCUCGUAGGCGGCUUGUCACGUCGGAUGUGAAAGCCCGAGGCUUAACCUCGGGUCUGCAUUCGAUACGGGCUAGCUAGAGUGUGGUAGGGGAGAUCGGAAUUCCUGGUGUAGCGGUGAAAUGCGCAGAUAUCAAGANNAACACCGGUGGCGAAGGCNGAUCUCUGGGCCAUUACUGACNCUGANGAGCGAAA
rnacentral:rRNA from 1 species